ensembl:lncRNA
GGGUUGCUUCACAUAUAAUUGUCUCCAGUCGACCUACAUACUAAAUGUGGUAGAAGUGGUAAAAAAGGAGAGCAGUGGAGAGUGGUGUCAGACAGAGGGACACAUGAUUAAACAGUAUUCCAGCGAUGCUCCAUUUGAAGUUGUGUUGGAUGGUGGUAACUGGAUAGAUGGCAUUGUAAAUGGUAUUGUGUCAUGGAGAGCUGUGGCUCUGGUGGAACUGAGGAACAGAUCUGACACCGGCAAAGCCAAUUCAUCACCCCAGACCACCAUCAUACCAGCCGUGAGAGUUCCCUCAAACUGUGCAAGAGAUUUCGUCUUGUUGGCGUUUGACCCUGAUGGUGAUGUGGUUAAGUGCAGAAAUGGGGAUGAAUCACUGUCAGAAUGUAAUCCCUGCACUCCACCAUCUGUCCUCAGCCUCACACCAUGGAUUCUCCAGUGCCAUCCUGCACAGAAGGACUCUUUCUGCCACUAUUCCUGCCUCCAACUCCAGCCAACGGAGCUCAGCUAUAUACCCCUGUAGGACAAACCCUGGAAAUCAGCAUCAAAGCAGAGGCGACAAAUUCCACGAUCUCUGAGCUGCUCUACAGUGGGCCCUACACUAUAUUUCAAAAUAAAACAGGACCAGGAGAGUUCAUCCUCUCAUGGACGCCAUCUGAGAGCGAA